rnacentral:rRNA from 1 species
UACGUAGGUGGCAAGCGUUAUCCGGAAUUAUUGGGCGUAAAGCGCGCGCAGGCGGUUUCUUAAGUCUGAUGUGAAAGCCCACGGCUCAACCGUGGAGGGUCAUUGGAAACUGGGGAACUUGAGUGCAGAGGAGAAAAGCGGAAUUCCACGUGUAGCGGUGAAAUGCGUAGAGAUGUGGAGGAACACCAGUGGCGAAGGCGGCUGUUUGGUCUGUAACUGACGCUGAGGCGCGAAAGCGUGGGGAGCAAACAGG